UGAAGGAGAGAAUGUAUUUGGUGUCUGCC
rnacentral:piRNA from 1 species